CAGACGAUGCGUUAAUGCAACACGACAGCAGCACAAACAGCCUCUGCUCUCUGUUGCAGCAUUUUAUUGUCAUGGUGUUAUGGCAAAAAUUGUCUCUUCCUUAUUUCUAUGUCUCUUCCUUAUUUCUAUGCAGUUAUUAUACGAGUUAUGACUUAUGUUCUGCAAUUAAUAUCUUAUGUUUUGUCUUACUGUAUGCAUUUGACAUUUCACCUAGAUUGUUCAAUGGUUGUCUCUGCCUGAUAGACUCUCAACUCUAGCUCCCAAACCCAAGGUCGGGGAGUUGUGUCUCUGUCUGUUGAGACUUGGUGCUCCUUUCUCACAGAUAGUUGGACGUCAGCGAUGCAGGUGUGAGAAAGUAAAAAUCUUCACACACACUGCGACAGGGAGGAGAUGGUGCAUGUAAUUUGAUUGGGUUAGAAAGACAUUCCACCCUAGUCGGACAGAGAAGCUAAAAGGCAGAAGCAACUUGAGGAUCGUGGGCUCUUUGCAUCACACCUUCGUGGUGUGUGCACUGAUCUCCCCAGCUGGUUUUUGGUUUGUUGAUGUGCACGAUCAACAUCCAUGCUUUUUAUUUGCUUUCCCCAUUAUUUUUAUUUUCUUUAUUAUUUCAAUAAAUCGCACAAAAGGACAACCCUCUCUCAUCUACUUCUUUAUGGAAAAUUUCCACCACAGAAAUUGGCGUUGUCGGCAGGAUCCCGCGGCAGGUCGUCUGGACGGUGUGACCAGGGACGAUAGUCCUGAGGACUAGGGUCGCUCAGCCUCCAAACCUCUACAGACAUUCAGAGCUGGGAGGACUGCUCACCCGUCUGAAUCGCCUCUGACGAGAUCCACGAACUCAGAUUCAAACUCAAAUCCUAAUUUGGCUCGGCUCGGAACGCAGACUCUGGCUGACGCAUGGUUCCACCUGUAGCCAUGGAGUCUGGUUUGGGCCUGAUGGCAGCCGUGCCGCCCAAACACCUUUUUCCCCACAAUUCAGAUUUCCCAACAGGUGAAAACAGGCGACAGGACCAUUACACCAUCCAACCAGGGGACUGGGCGAUUGUUAAGGACUUCAGGAGGAAGCAUUGGGACUCCAAACGAUGGCGAGGCCCCUUCCAGGUCCUUCUGACGACCCACACGGCUGAAAGAUUGCAGUGAGAGUGACUUGGAUCCACUCCAUCCACUGCAGGAAGGUCCCAGAUCCAACAGACGACCCUCCAUCUACAUCUACACCACACGAGAAAGCCACCACUGACGAAAAGAACUGAGAAGGACGACCCUCGCUGUGCUCACACACGCACUGAGGCGAGGCUGCGUUGACCAUUCAGCUAAAGGUGUGAGCCAAGCGCCGCCUGAAGCUGCACCGGUGAAUCACACUAUCAGAUCAUACAUCUACACACACGCUCCUGAGAAAACACACACACGAGCAGCCUUGAGUUGCCGACGCUGGACGACGUGUAGACUCUUCACAUCACGGGAGUGACAGUGACUCAGACGACAUUGGGAGGAAACCUGGCGGUGAUAACGAAUCCCAAGUGUCUCUGUGAUCAGCUGAUCACAACCUGAAGAACCCCAACGAACUGUCAAUACUUCAACACACAGGUUGGAAACAAUCUAACGCUACUGUUCAACAGGAAGAAGCAGAUUGUUACGAGACAUCAAUUGUAAACAUGCUUUGUUAGACUUCAUUUUAUGUUACUUGGAUUAUUGCCUUUAGCAUAUGAUGUUUCUAUGUAACUUUACACACUACUUUUGAAUGAGAAAAUUCACAACAACAACAACACUGAGUUUAAAUAUCCUGAAGUUGACUUGGUGUUUAAUUUGCUCACAAUCACUUUAUUCACUGCUACAAUUAGUUCUAUCCUUCAUCUACAGAUGAAAGACAACAGAAGCGGAAAUAUGCAUCAUCAUUCUGGUUAAAUCCCUGAAUCUCCUAUUCGCUCUAGACGCAAAUGUACAAUUAAAGAUCCGAAAGCAUUAAAUCUAUCUUAAGAAUAUAUGAAACAGAACCCCAUCGGAAACGUAUGGCUAUCAUACAUUAAUUGUCUUUAUUACAUUACAAUUGAAUGGCCGUAGACACGUUGUUAGCAGAGAAAAGAGGCGUUUGUGUUAUGUUUGGAGAGGCAUGUUGUACUUACAUCCUGAAUAACACUGAUUCUAAUGGUAUUGUGGCGAAGGCGCUACACGGCCUUCAGAGUCUCAGCUAACUCUGGUAUAGGUUCUUCCUCUUGGAAUUGGCUAGACGAAAUGUCUGGAAAAUGGAAAUCUGUUCUCAUGUCCGCAGCUGUUUCCUUUAUCAUUGAGAUGGCUGUGAUUCUCUUGUUUGGUUUUUGCGUUAUCCCACUGGUUAGAGGUCUCAUCAUGCGUGCGACCUCAGCAACACUCUCGUAUGAGAUGACACAAUGCACUAUGUUCAAAAACCCCAACUCUAAUUUACUUAAUGACUUUGACGAUGAUCUUAGGCUAUCUAAUCACAAAAUAUAAUCUGAUACAAAUAUGAUUAUGAGCUUAUUUUCUUCACAUGCCAAUACAGAGGUUAUUCUUGUAUAACUACCCAAAAACAGCUCCCAACCUUUUGUCCCUUAGUUACUUCCAUUUUAUGUGAAGGUGUAUUUUGAAUCUUGAUGAGUUAAUACCCUUAUUGUUUCAUUUGCAAGGAUCUUUUAUUAUUACAGAAUGUGAUGUUGACAAUUUUUCUUCUUAGUGGUUGAUUAAUGUGUAAUCAAAAGGGGGGGAGUGUUAUGGCAAAAAUUGUCUCUUCCUUAUUUCUAUGUCUCUUCCUUAUUUCUAUGCAGUUAUUAUACGAGUUAUGACUUAUGUUCUGCAAUUAAUAUCUUAUGUUUUGUCUUACUGUAUGCAUUUGACAUUUCACCUAGAUUGUUCAAUGGUUGUCUCUGCCUGAUAGACUCUCAACUCUAGCUCCCAAACCCAAGGUCGGGGAGUUGUGUCUCUGUCUGUUGAGACUUGGUGCUCCUUUCUCACAGAUAGUUGGACGUCAGCGAUGCAGGUGUGAGAAAGUAAAAAUCUUCACACACACUGCGACAGGGAGGAGAUGGUGCAUGUAAUUUGAUUGGGUUAGAAAGACAUUCCACCCUAGUCGGACAGAGAAGCUAAAAGGCAGAAGCAACUUGAGGAUCGUGGGCUCUUUGCAUCACACCUUCGUGGUGUGUGCACUGAUCUCCCCAGCUGGUUUUUGGUUUGUUGAUGUGCACGAUCAACAUCCAUGCUUUUUAUUUGCUUUCCCCAUUAUUUUUAUUUUCUUUAUUAUUUCAAUAAAUCGCACAAAAGGACAA